UGCGGAGGAUCAUUAC
rnacentral:rRNA from 1 species